rnacentral:rRNA from 1 species
GUAACGGCGAGUGAAGCGGUAACAGCUCAAAUUUGAAAUCUGGCUCCGUCGGAGUCCGAGUUGUAAUUUGUAGAAGAUGCUUUGGGUUGUGGGUUCGGCCUAAGUUCCUUGGAACAGGACGUCAUAGAGGGUGAGAAUCCCGUAUGUGGCCGAGGCCCUGCGCCCGUGUAAAGCUCUUUCGACGAGUCGAGUUGUUUGGGAAUGCAGCUCAAAAUGGGUGGUAAAUUUCAUCUAAAGCUAAAUAUGGGCCAGAGACCGAUAGCGCACAAGUAGAGUGAUCGAAAGAUGAAAAGCACUUUGGAAAGAGAGUUAAACAGUACGUGAAAUUGUUGAAAGGGAAGCGCUUGCAACCAGACUUGGGCGCUGCUGAUCAUCCAGAGUUCUCUCUGGUGCACUCGACAGCGCACAGGCCAGCAUCGGUUCGGGUGGCUGGACAAAGACCGGGAGGAACGUAGCUCCCUUUCGCGGGGAGUGUUAUAGCCUCUGGUGUCAUACAGCCCAACUGGACCGAGGACCGCGCCUUCGGGCUAGGAUGCUGGCGUAAUGGUUGUAAGCGACCCGUCUUGAAACACGGACCAAGGAGUCUAACAUCUAUGCGAGUGUUUGGGCGUUAAACCCAUACGCGGAAUGAAAGUGAACGUAGGUGAGAACCCUUUGGGGUGCAUCAUCGACCGAUCCUGAUGUCUUCGGACGGAUUUGAGUAAGAGCAUAGCUGUUUGGG